AUACUCCUUAGUUAAUCAAGCAGUGAAAAGAAAUUAGCCAUUGUGGUUUUGCUCUCCAUUGACCACAUCCCAGUGACCUGGGCUUGCUCCUAAGAAGCGAACAAUACACUAGGACAUGCAUGGUCACUCUACAGAGGCGAGAAGGCAUGGUCACUCCAGGUGAUUGGGCUGGUACUGAGAUGACGCCUGAAUAGGCCUUUUCAUUGAUUUCAAAGUGCAACCCCCACAAAUUUCACCCCCUGUUUUCAACCAAUCACAGUUCACUGUUGGUCGGGGUUUUAAAGGAUUAUCUUUGUUGGCUGAGCAGGACAGUAGUACAAAAUGUACUAGGAAUUGGGAUUGUGUUCCUAUGAUAGGAUGUGCAUGUAAUUGUUGAGCAGCAUUUGUUAGGGCCAGUGUGCCUGAGUACAUGUAGGUUGUCAGUUCAAGCACAGCUUGGGGGCAACCUCCAUUCAGUUGGUACAUGUAGCUAGUGAAGAAACAGCAAUGGCUUGUGUGGAGUAAAACGGAAGUGAGAAUUGUGUUCUCUGUCGUGACUGUGGGUUCAUCUUCAGGACUGAACAUUGUCCUCUGCUGAGACCAUUGUGGAUUCUCCAGAUUUUAGCCACAUCCUUGGAACAUUUGGCACACCCGUUUAGUUUGUAGAUUUAUGGUGUGAGCUACACGGUUGUAAAUCCACCGUUGAGAUAUCUUCAAAAUCCUGUGAUGUUUGAUAAAGCCUUGCCACAUCACUGAUGAAGUUGCUCAAUUUUGGAGAGCAGUUUUGUGUGAAACACUUGGAAAGUAGACCAGCAUCACUCUCGUGAAAUACUGUAACUUUAUUUGUUGUCCAGCUUGUGUUCUGCACAGGCCUUGUCAGUUCAUCAGUCCCAUUGUUAGGCAGUCAGCCUUUGCUGUUUGCUGAACCGUGUUGGAUUCCAGGCUGCAUUGUUGCGAAAGUAAACUUUACAAGUACACUGUAAAAUUGGCCUAUAAAUUAUGAAUGAAAACUCUGCCAAAGUCGACUGAUUGUUUUCAAAACGAUAACAAUCCGGGGAAAUCACAAGCGUGGGAACAAAUGGAUUUUCGUGCAUUGGCAGUCAAAUUUCUGUGGAAAAUGGAAAUCAACCUCCCGUCCUCAGCUUCAGCAGGCAGAUUUUGUGAAUCCUUGGAAUCUUACAAUGAGAGAUCAUCAGAUAAUGAGCCCAUUGAGGUGUCCAUAUCCCCGAGACUGCUUCCCCUAGACGAAGAGUUUGACUGCACUCACUAUGACCCCAGUGAAUCAGAUGUCGUUGGCUCCAAGAGAUUCCACGAUGGGAACCAGCUCGUACCCUCUGGUACGAGAGCCAUACAUUGGGAUGUACGGAUCACUCACCAGGAGUCGGUCAUCACGAGUCAGUGUGUAAGAACUGAAAAAUCUGUCCAGUGGGUCCAAGGGGUACAUCAACCUGGUUGUGAGGGUUCUCAACUACGAAAGUCCUUCCGUUGGCUUGACAAACUGAGAAAGAAAUCAAGUAGGCAGCUGAAAAUCACACCAGUUGUACUGCGAGUGGAAGACUGGGAACCAGGAAAGGCAGUAGUACUUGAAUUGAAGACCGCACUUUGGAGAGGGAGCCAAGAUCCCACUUUCAGUAAUGAUGUGCCAAGCCAAGAUUUGAAAAACAUCCUGUCCAAAACUGAGGUUUCUGUAAACUUUAGAACUGAGCUGGAGAUAAAAUUGGAGCUGCAUUGUCAUUCUAGUUUUCAAUCUGUGGACCGAACAGAGCUUUCCACAAAUGAUUCAGCUGUUGAUUCAAAGACUGGCAAAGUAACCAAAGUCUAUAUGACUCAACUGGACUUAAAGGUUUUCCGAGUACCAGCCACAAUUAACAACAAGUUUCCUCAAGUGCAUUUUUCAUCGUCAGUAGUUGGAAUUACGAGUUCAGCAGCCACAUUAGAAGAUAGUCCCGGAAACCCGAAAAAGUUUUCCCUUAUGAGUAGAAAUCAUACCCAGAGAAGAAGAUGGGAAAAACCGAAGCCACGGAUGCCUAAGCCCUUGGACAUGGAUGAAUGGGAUAUCAUUGAGGCAGCUGAGAUUGACUACCACCCAAAUCUGGGUGACUCCGUGGACUCACCUUUCUCAUCGACUUCCUCAUCAGUGAUCCCCUGUCGCCUGGCAGUUGUGACCUUUUCACCUUUCACUUUUGCCCCUCGUGGUGCGGGCCACAUGUCAAUCUCAAUGUCGACAGUCGUGGCAGUCCCUCUGCCACAUUUUGCCUUUGUGAAAAAUGGCCAAUGCCACAGAGCUAUUCUUGAAGAUGAAGAUAACCCACCGAGAUCUGAAUGCAGGUCAAAUGCUUUGCCAAAAUCCUCUACAAGUUUAACAAAGGCAAAUUGCAGCAAAGCACACCGAGCCUUUGUACUUGACUCUCCUCUGGGUGCUAGGAAUGAAGUACAGAUUGCAGGUUUAGAAAAUGAGAAAUUCUUUAAGGAUCCUUACACAGUAACGAUGGGAGGGUUCUCCAAGGUUACAAACUUCUUCCGUGAGGCUCUUGUGGCGCCGGCCGCUAACCGACCCAUUGAUGAAUAUGCAGAGCUGAUGACGGACCUGCCCAGUAUCCUGUCCGUCAACUCCCAGGCUGAGCAGAGCUACGAGAUGGUUGUCCCGGAGAGUAAGCUGGGCUCCAGACCAGAUGUGGAAAGACGAGGCCCACUGACCGAGGCAGAGUGGGCCAGCCAUCUUGACAAGGAAGGAAGAGUCACCAAUGUCAAAGAUCUUCAGAAGAAGAUCUUCAGAGGGGGUUUGGUUCCAUCCCUGAGGAAGGAGGUCUGGAAGUUUCUGCUUAAGUACUACCCCUGGAACUCCACCAGCAAAGAGAGGACAGCGCUUCGAAAAAUCAAGGAGGACGAGUAUUUUUGCAUGAAGGCCCAGUGGAAGACCAUCACUCCCCAGCAGGAGAAGAGGUUCAGCAAGUACCGAGACAACAAGAGCAUCAUAGGUAUGUCCAUCACAGAAAAAGAUGUGAUUCGGACAGACAGGACACAUCAUUUCUUUGAGGGGGAGCACAACCCACAUAUUGAAGUGCUGCACGAUAUUCUCAUGACGUAUUGCCAGUACAACUUUGAUCUUGGUUACGUACAAGGCAUGAGUGAUCUGCUGGCUCCCAUCCUUGUUGUCAUGGAGAGGGAGGUGGAUGCAUUCUGGUGCCUGGUGGGAUUCUUGGAUGACCACAGUCUGGUCAUGAACUUUGACAUGGAACAGGAGGGCAUGAGGAAUCAACUGAUGCAGCUAAACAGCUUGAUGCAGAUUGUGGAUCCCAAGCUGUACAGCUACCUCCAAUCCAAGGAGUGCAGCAAUCUUUACUUCUGCUUCCGGUGGCUGCUCAUCUGGUUCAAGAGGGAAUUCCCCAUGGAGGACGUCUGCGCAAUCUGGGAGGUCAUGUGGACGGGCCUCCCCUGUAAGAAUUUCCACUUGCUGAUGUGCCUGGCCAUCCUGGAUGGAGAGCGAGACCUGCUGGAGAGGGAGAACUUUGACUUCAGCGACAUUUUGAAGCACGUGAACGAGCUGUCAUGCCACAUGGAUGCUGGCAAAAUCCUCCAGACAGCGGAAGCGAUCUACCUCCAGCUCUUUGAGUACCCGGAUCUCCCGCCCACCCUCCGAGAGGUGAUUGGGCUGGCCACGGAGGAGAACGGCACUGUUGAGAAUGGGUCCCACGGCUCCGAGAGCAGCAUCGAGGUACUCGCUGACCCCUCGGAUUAAGAAAGGAAAAGUGGGGAGGGGGGGCAGGUGGACUGUCUGUUAGUCCUGUUGUUUGUGUGUGGUCUUUUUGAAGCAUGUGACCUGGUCCUAAUAUCUGUAAUCUUGUCGAAGGGAAACACCUGCAAACUUACAAUUUGUUUUGGAGUAUACCCUAGAGAAUAGCAGCCCGGCGGAAAUUCGGUGUCCAAGUUAGAAAUGUCUGGAAUACCAGUUGGGAAUGUUUGCCUGUGUAUAUGCACACUUAAGAAAAGCUCAUUCCAUUCAAGGGAAGAUCCAGAAAUGAAAACCUUGCAUUAUUUGUAAAACUUUGUUUCGUUGUUGGGGGUCAUGGCCUCUGUUGGCCCUCUGCCAGAUCUGCUUAUGGUUCCAUUUUGUAACAUACUCCUUUCCUUUGGUAAUGCCUCGUGUUUGAAAUUGGGAAUUCCUAAUGGAGCAGAAAUGUUCCAAAUUUUAAGACUGGGGUUGCUGACUGUUCCUUGCUAAACAGGAUUUACCUCAGAUGUGACCAUGCAGUAGAUUUGUUUGUAACGAACGGCAAAGUUCACAUGCAUGACAAGUGUACAGUGUCGCUUUGGUAAGCUUACAUUUUGCAAGGGCAGUGAAAUUAGAGCCCACUAUCACUUUAAAAUAUGUGAUAUCCCCCAGCGUGGCUGUGAAAUUAACAUUUUUGUGAUGCCUGUGCAGUUCCAGAAAAGAGUGAGAUAUGGGUCAUAAUGCUACAACAGAUCAAAGUACUGCGUAUAAUCAUGGCAUUGUUAAUCGUUCCCCAAAUUAUGUACUGGAACAACAAAUACGGGGUAUUAGGGAACAAAGUUGUAUCUGAUAAUUUUACAAAAUUGAACAAAAUGCCUGUUAAAAGCCAGAUUACUGAAAUUAUAUCAAAGUGUACUAAAAAAAGGAAUUACAGUUCAAAUUCAUAUACAUGUGUACAUGUAAAAUGUAUCCAACACAGUAAUCUUUCAACUGUCUGUGGCAACCUAGCAUUGCAUUUAAAAGAUAAGUGAAGCUGUUUAACAUUUCCAAAUGUACAUUUCCAGAUUCAUGACAAGACUGUUUUGACAAUCUUCUGGUAUGGUGGAGCCAAGCCAGCAACUCACACAAGUUAAAAUUGAAAGUAGCGAGUAUCACUGCUCCAUUGUUCAGUUCACCUUGCAUGAGUCAGAAUAUUGGUAAUCUUGUCACAUGACCAGUUUUCAAUUCACAAAAUAGUUAAGUGUGAUUGAUCUGUGAUGUCAAGGUAGCAGCUAAAAAUCUCAAGCUUAUUUGUCUCAUAAACUCACAUGCACUCAAGAUGCAUUAAUUUUUAAGUUAACUUCAUAAUUUCUGUUGUUUUUGUUUCAUCGUAGGCAUCUUGAUUCUUUUUUCAAAAUAAGCCCGCAGGUCAUACAGUGUUUAAAUGACAUAUGACAUCCAGCCCGCAGGUCAUACAGUGUUUAAAUGACAUAUGACAUCCAGCCUGCAGGUCAUAUAGUGUUUAAAUGACAUAUGACAUCCAGCCCGCAGGUCAUACAGUGUUUAAAUGACAUAUGACAUCCAGCCCGCAGGUCAUACAGUGUUUAAGUGACGUGUGACAUCCAGCCCGCAGGUCAUACAGUGUUUAAGUGACAUGUGACAUCCAGCCCGCAGGUCGUACAGUGUUUAAAUGACAUAUGACAUCCAGUUAUUCAAUCAGGUUGUAGAUUCCACAAAUUGUGGGAUAGGUAAUACAUUGUGCUUUCGGGCAGGUUCAUGCUUAUGGCCAAUGCAGUUUUACAACAUAUUAAAUGUGCACACACUGCAAAUAGAGGACAUUUCAACUCAAGCAAAAUACGCUACAAAACGUUUCAUGGUGUCAAAAGUUUGCCUCACUUCUGGCUUUGCCUGAAGUGGGAGGAGUCCUCUAAUCCUGACAACCUGCUUAAUUUUGCUGGAAAUCAGAGCUUCAAACUGCAAGUAAAGAUGCAGUGCCUGAGCUGUACUUUCGUCAAUUCUGUAAAAGCCUCUAAAAGGGGUAGGAUCUGGGAGGAUCGGAACUUGUUGGAAUUGGAACUUGUUUCACAUGAUAAUAAAUGUGAGCCGAAACAGAA
rnacentral:misc_RNA from 1 species